UUAUACCGCGAAACUGCGAAUGGCUCAUUAAAUCAGUUAUCGUUUAUUUGAUAGUACCUACUACUUGGAUAACCGUGGUAAUUCUAGAGCUAAUACAUGCUAAAAAUCCCGACCGAAGGGAUGUAUUUAUUAGAUUAAAAACCAAUGCCCCUCGGGGCUUUCUGGUGAUUCAUAAUAACUUCUCGAAUCGCAUGGCCUUGCGCCGGCGAUGGUUCAUUCAAAUUUCUGCCCUAUCAACUUUCGAUGGCAGGGUCUUGGCCUGCCAUGGUUACAACGGGUAACGGAGGGUUAGGGCUCGACCCCGGAGAAGGAGCCUGAGAAACGGCUACUACAUCCAAGGAAGGCAGCAGGCGCGCAAAUUACCCAAUCCCGACUCGGGGAGGUAGUGACAAUAAAUACUGAUACAGGGCUCUUUUGGGUCUUGUAAUUGGAAUGAGUACAAUUUAAAUCCCUUAACGAGGAACAAUUGGAGGGCAAGUCUGGUCCAGCAGCCGCGGUAAUUCCAGCUCCAAUAGCGUAUAUUAAAGUUGUUGCAGUUAAAAAGCUCGUAGUUGAACCUUGGGCCUGGCUGGCCGGUCCGCCUCACCGCGUGCACUGGUUCGGCCGGGCCUUCCCUCUGGGGAGCCCUAUGCCCUUCACUGGGUGUAGGGGGACCAGGACUUUUACUGUGAAAAAAUUAGAGUGUUCAAAGCAGGCUAUGCUCGAAUACAUCAGCAUGGAAUAAUAGAAUAGGACGUGUGGUUCUAUUUUGUUGGUUUCUAGGACCGCCGUAAUGAUUAAUAGGGACAGUCGGGGGCAUCAGUAUUCAAUUGUCAGAGGUGAAAUUCUUGGAUUUAUUGAAGACUAACUACUGCGAAAGCAUUUGCCAAGGAUGUUUUCAUUAAUCAGGAACGAAAGUUAGGGGAUCGAAGACGAUCAGAUACCGUCGUAGUCUUAACCAUAAACUAUGCCGACUAGGGAUCGGACGAUGUUAUUUUGACUCGUUCGG
rnacentral:rRNA from 1 species